ensembl:lncRNA
GCAAAUCAGAUGGGAAAUCAGUGCUUUGUUUUGUUGUCAUAAGUGUGUGUUUUCUGUAGCUUUUGAAUGCUUCCAUAGAAUACUUACGGUCUAAUUGUUUUGAAUGAUGCCAGUUAUUAUUAGAUUUGCUUGUACCUUGGUGAUUAGGAAGAGUCAGGUGUAUGGCAAGAGGGAGGUGUUUCAUUUCACAGCUGGUAAUUGUGUUAGUCUAUCACAUUCGUUUUCCGAACUCCAAAUGUGGGCAUGCCAGGACUGCUGUGUGAAAUGGUGCUUGCACACACACACACACACACACACACACACACACACACACACACACACACACACACACACACACACAGCGUCACGAUGGCGAUAAGGAUUACAGAUGGUGUUAUUAUGGCAGAGUCAGCACUGUCUCUGUUAGUUCCUCUCUGGUGUGAAAAGCGGCCCGAGGAUCAGAGGGAACAUCUCUGGCUCUUGGCAGGAGCAUUGGGAUGAGCUCACAACCAGUGGGCUCGGCUUCCCAGCAGACAACACGACCUCUGUCAACCUCACUCAAAUCAGCCGUGGCGGCUAAGAGCAAAUAACAGUGAUCACAAAAAAAAAAAAAUUGUGCACAUGCACAACAAGAUAAUUGGUCAUUGUUUAUAGUGGUGGGAAAAUUAUGUUUUUUCUCCCCCACUCGCUGUUUUUGCCAAACACUCUAAUUACAACAAAAGUCAACCAUAGACAUUUGUGUGAUUUAAAAAAAAAAAAAGUACACAGGUACUCUGUGUUUUUCUCUCGGUUUCCAGACCUGUGUGGGUGGUAUUGUGGGUGGGAUUUCAAAUGCCCCAGGUUGCUGGGCUUGCUGAGCUGUCCUCCCCUCAUCUCCUGGGGCUUAAGUAGAUCCAGGGACUAUCUGCAGGGACGUAGCUGUGCUGUGUCGCCUGUAUGUGGGCGAGAGAGCUGGUCCUGCAGUCUUACAUAAUGGGUCCUUUUAAUUCAAUCUCAGCUGCAUUUGCUGCCUCUCCGUGCAUAACCCACUUUGUGAUGAAAUGAUUCACUGCGAUAGUAAACAAAACAACUUUUCAGUUCCCUCCACCAAUUACAGCCUCUCUCCCUCACCCCUUAGUUUUUGAUGUGUGUGUCUGACUGAAGGCUUUUCCUGUUGUCUGCCUUAAUAGACCAAAGAGUUUUACAGUGCUUUAUCUGCCAGCUCAGAACAGUGUACAAGGUAAGGAUUUGUGUGC